UACAUGGGAAUUGUUUUCAGA
rnacentral:piRNA from 1 species